GAUGAACGCUGGCGGCGUGCCUAACACAUGCAAGUCGAACGGGGUUAAGGGAAGUUUUCGGAUGGACCUUAACUUAGUGGCGGACGGGUGAGUAACGCGUGGAUAACCUGCCUCACACUGGGGGAUAGCAGCUGGAAACGGCUGGUAAUACCGCAUAAGACCACAGCACCGCAUGGUGCAGGGGUAAAAGAUUUAUCGGUGUGAGAUGGAUCCGCGUCGGAUUAGCCAGUUGGCGGGGUAACGGCCCACCAAAGCGACGAUCAGUAGCCGGCCGGAGAGGGUGAACGGCCACAUUGGGACUGAGACACGGCCCAAACUCCUACGGGGGGCAGCAGUGGGGAAUAUUGCACAAUGGGCGCAAGCCUGAUGCAGCAACGCCGCGUGAGUGAAGAAGUAUUUCGGUAUGUAAAGCUCUAUCGGCAGGGAAGAAAGGCCCGAAAGGGAGAUGACGGUACCUGACUAAGAAGCCCCGGCUAACUACGUGCCAGCCGCCGCGGUAAUAC
rnacentral:rRNA from 1 species